UACGUAGGUGGCAAGCGUUGUCCGGAUUUACUGGGCGUAAAGAGCGCGCAGGCGGUCGUUCAAGUCGCGUGUGAAAGCCCCCCGGCUCAACUGGGGAGGGUCACGCGAUACUGAUCGACUGGAAGGCAGGAGAGGGUAGUGGAAUUCCCGGUGUAGUGGUGAAAUGCGUAGAUAUUGGGAAGAACACCGGUGGCGAAGGCGGCCAUCUGGACCGGUACUGACGCUGAGACGCGAAAGCGUGGGGAGCGAACAGG
rnacentral:rRNA from 1 species